rnacentral:sRNA from 1 species
CCGUCAGGCGAUCAAAUCCGCACACGCGUCGACACGGUUUCCUGGGUGCCCGAAAGGGUUGGAGAUCGGGAUGCGUGGAGGCCUAAC